rnacentral:rRNA from 1 species
UGGGGAAUAUUGGACAAUGGGCGAAAGCCUGAUCCAGCCAUGCCGCGUGUGUGAAGAAGGCCUUAUGGUUGUAAAGCACUUUAAGUGGGGAGGAAAAGCUUAUGGAUAACACCCAUAGGUUCUGACGUUACCCACAGAAUAAGCACCGGCUAACUCUGUGCCAGCGGCCGCGGUAAUACAGAGGGUGCAAGCGUUAAUCGGAAUUACUGGGCGUAAAGCGAGCGUAGGUGGUUUAUUAAGUCAGAUGUGAAAUCCCUGGGCUUAACCUAGGAACUGCAUCUGAUACUGAUAAACUAGAGUAGGUGAGAGGAAAGUAGAAUUCCAGGUGUAGCGGUGAACUGCGUAGAGAUCUGGAGGAAUACCGAUGGCGAAGGCAGCUUUCUGGCAUCAUACUGACACUGAGGUUCGAAAGCGUGGGUAGCAAACAGGAUUAGAUACCCUGGUAGUCCACGCCGUAAACGAUGUCUACCAGUCGUUGGGUCUUUUAAAGGCUUAGUGACGCAGUUAACGCGAUAAGUAGACCGCCUGGGGAGUACGGCCGCAAGGUUA